GGGCGGCUCCGUGAAAAAAAAAAAAAAAAAAAAAAAAAAAAAAAAGCAGUGAUCUCGGUGUGACAGCUCAGAGCUGUCCACGUCAACACACCGAGCGAGCGGCGGCGGCAGCAGCGAUGGACUCCUCGUCUCUGGAACUUUCCCUCUACACGGUGAAAGCUGUCCUGAUUCUCGACAAUGACGGCAACAGACUUCUGUCAAAGUACUACGACCCUGAGCUUUACCCCUCGAUGAAGGAGCAGAACAACUUUGAGAGGAACGUUUUCAACAAGACACACAAAGCGGACAAUGAGAUAGCUUUCCUGGAGGGGAUGACCAUUGUUUAUAAGAGCAGCAUAGAUCUCUUCUUCUAUGUGGUGGGAAGUGCUCAGGAAAAUGAGUUGAUGCUGAUGUCGGUACUCAACUGUCUCUUCGAUUCCCUCAGUCACAUCCUCAGGAAAAACGUCGAGCGCAGGUGUUUACUGGACAACAUGGAAGGAGUGUUCCUCGUUGUGGACGAGAUCAUUGAUGGAGGGGUGAUUCUAGAGUGUGACCCUCAGCAGGUCCUACAGAAGGUCAACUACAGGCAAAUGUCAGAGCCAGCCUAUGGCUUCGUCCUGUUUGAUUACAUCACCGGUAACCUAGAGGCACAAACAGACAGGAGCCAGCUGCUGUAGAAAGACAGACAGACAAACACAGGCAGACACGCAGACAGACCGAGGGCUGAUGAAAACCCAUUAACUGAGCAAAGUGUGGCCCAGGUCCUGCAGUCGGCCAAGGAGCAGAUCAAGUGGUCCAUACUAAAAUGACCCACAGCAGGAAAAAAAAGCAUUAAGAUUCUCAAGAAAGCUCGAGGGAAUCUCUGUCUAGUCCCAAAGCUAUUUUUAUAGGGUGGAAUUAAAGGGGAAGGUUGCACAGGCCUGUCAGCCAGUAGACUGCCAUAUAUUGCAAUUAGCCAGGCAGAGAUGGGAUUUUUCUGGAUUCUCUGUCUGAUGCCGUUUUGUAACAUUGUGUGUGACAUAUAUUUAAUUUAUUCAGUUGUGUAGAGAUGUUAUUUAACAGGCCAAAUGACCACCCAGCACACAUCGUUAAAGGGAUGACAAUAGGAGUACUGGGAAUGUCAGUGGACAAAUUAAAUGAAGUAUGAGUUUUUUUGGGAGCAUAAAUUUACAUAAAACGCAUGGGGUUUACUUGCGUUACUUUGCACAUUGGUGACAUGCAAAAGUUUAAAAUUGCACCAUUUUAUACAUGAAAAACAACCCCCCUCCCCACCCCCCCCCAAAAAGUAAUAUGAUUGAGUAAUAACAAUAAUAAUGAGUAAUAAUAAUGAUAUUAACUUUAUAUUUCUGGGUUUUAUAAUGCUUAUUUAAAGACUAUAAAGGAAUGUAUUGAUACACUAAACAAAUGUUAGCGGUAUGUGUGAGAGGUGCUGUGUUACUGUUGCACUGUAUAACAUGCGCAAAAGAAGAUAAGAUUCUCCUCAUUUAGGUAAAUGAAUAUAUGUACAUAUACAUGUAUUUAAGAGUCAACGGGAGCUUAAAUAAAGUGAAAAACUGCACAGAUGACUUUGUGGCCAGGGUUAGAAAUAAUAAUGUCUAUUUUACUGUUAUUUUGAGGAUUAGAGAUGUGGAUAUUUUCUUAAUUUAAAAAGAUAAAACCAGCCAAAAAGAUACUAAUUAUUUUUCUGUACAUUUUGAUGUUGCUGAAACAAACGUGUAUUUAGCCAUUUGUGAAACUGACAAUAAAACAUGUCUAAAUGCAAAUGUG